rfam:Frankia sp. BMG5.36 contig_112, whole genome shotgun sequence.
UCGAUGGAGAGUUUGAUCCUGGCUCAGGACGAACGCUGGCGGCGUGCUUAACACAUGCAAGUCGAGCGGACCUUCGGGUCAGCGGCGAACGGGUGAGUAACACGUGGGCAACCUGCCCCAGGCUCUGGAAUAACU